rnacentral:rRNA from 1 species
AUUGAACGCUGGCGGCAGGCCUAACACAUGCAAGUCGAACGAGUGGCGGACGGGUGAGUAAUGUCUGGGAAACUGCCUGAUGGAGGGGGAUAACUACUGGAAACGGUAGCUAAUACCGCAUACCAUCGGAUGUGCCCAGAUGGGAUGAGCUAGUAGGUGGGGUAAAGGCUCACCUAGGCGACGAUCCCUAGCUGGUCUGAGAGGAUGAUCAGCCACACUGGAACUGAGACACGGUCCAGACUCCUACGGGAGGCAGCAGUGGGGAAUAUUGCACAAUGGGCGAAAGCCUGAUGGAGCCAUGCCGCGUGUGUGAAGAAGGUCUUCGGAUUGUAAAGUACUUUAAGUUGGGAGGCGUUACCAACAGAAGAAGCACCGGCUAACUUCGUGCCAGCAGCCGCGGUAAUAC